CAUUCGAUUAUCUACUUUAUACCCCAAAGACACUGGCAGACUCCAAUAUAAAAAUAUGGAUAGCUGGCUUCUUCCGGCGUCACACACCAAUUGUUAGUAUGAAUCCUAUUGGCAAACACAUUCCCGCACACAGCACGAUUCACAACAAUACCAACUGUUCAAGGAUAAACUUUGACGAUGCAUCAGUUGGCCAGUAUCAAUGGUCAUUCUUUUACAUGUAAAGGGACGCGGCGAAUAUUACGUCGCGCUUGAUCAGCUCUUGUGCCUGUUCCGUCUUGUUAUAGAGCGUUGGAUCGCCCACUAGCUUAGCAGCACUCUUUACCUCCCGACAGGUUUCGUCUAACCGUGUGAUAACACGUACAAUCGUUCCUUCCAUCACAUCUGUCAAAUCUGUGAUUCGGUUGAAUGACAUUCCCCGCGCCCAUUCGUACACCACCUCGACAAGGCUGAAUCGGGGCUUGCUCACGAAGUCAUUGGAGUCAUCACUCGAUAGGAUGACCUGGUGCUGGAUUUGAAAGUCAUUUACCCUCUCCGAUAUCUUGAUUAUGGCCUCUUUGCCCUUUUCAAGUCGCGGCGUGAGUGUCGGUACGCUCUCCGUCUUUUCUUGGAAGACGAAAGCUGACAGCAGAGCAACGAUCUCUUCUGGCUCGUAUUCUGCAAACACAUUUUCCAGAAUUAAUUCUGUCAGGACGAGCUCGUCGGCUGAAUGAAUCUAGAUAUAGAUAAUGUCAAUUUUUUGAGAUUGAAAAUGAUUUCACGUGGAUGGCACAAUAACCUACCUCACAGGCAACUUUCCCCUUCAAUUGGACUCGACAAGCCUCAUCAACGAAGCCAAGAUCCUUCAAGACCAAAAUACGCUGCUCGUAGUCGGGUAACAGUUGCAAGUUUUGAUCCGACAUUAAUUGCUUUAACUGUGAGAUGUUUUCUUUAACCUGCCAUUCGUCAUGUUGCAUUUCAAACUGCCCAAGCAUCAGCAUUGCCCCAAUAAAAUUAAUGUUAGUCAAGGAGAACAACGCUUUUUUAAACCUACAUGUUUCAGAAAUUGUGGGCAUCGCAAACAAUUGCUGGAUUCGACGAUGACAACCUGUGCCUGUCGCUGAUUUAAGAUCUCGACUACUUGAAGAUCUUUGACUCGGUCCCACGCCAAUUCGUCCCACGACCUGCUCUUCCACGAGGUACAUAACGGCGCAAGGUCUUUCUGUGCAACUUUCAACGAUUCUACAACGGGUUAACAACAGGCCAAAAGAAAAAGAAAAAACAAUCGAAUCAGAGCAAUUAAUGCAGUUAUUAAAAAGGUGGGUUCCCGUUUACCUUUCUUAAUAUUCAAAUACCAUGUUGGACCACCUAUUUUUAAAACAGUCGAAGUUACGCAUUCAAGGUCUUCAAGCGGGAUCUUGUAUGUCUUCAGCACCAUCUCGUUGGGUUCCGUCGACAGUGGCGAAAAUAAAUGCCGAAACGCUGGCAAAUAUGGAAGGAUAUCACUUGGAUGCCGGAUACCACUGAUCGGGCCAAAUUCGAACACCUCUAGGUUAAGGUUCGGCCCAGGAGCCAUACCUUCGCGAGCAAGAAUACCAACUGUCCUGACACCGUUCUGUAGGAAAGUAGCCAAUAUUAGCAAAUCUCAUUAAUUAGAAUCCAACGCGUAAUUCGUCACCUUUUUAAAGACGACCACUGUCUUGGCUAAAAAUAAUCGUCGUCCCACAGGUGAUGCAAGGAGCUUAAUAUGAAGUUUGGCAGUGAGGCGCGAAUACUCCACGGCAGCAUUGUGGCAAGCUUCCAUGUCGAUAUCACAUAUGGAGCAUGGCUCCCGUUUUAUUUUCUCUAAACUGGCCUCAGAUAGUUGCACUUGUUUCUGGUGCUCCGGCAGGAGCGCUUGCGUUGCAUUUUCACUGAAGCUUCGCUUGAUCAUUUCUUCAAUCUUCAAGGCUUCUACUCGCAGGAGGCUCAAUAUCAUAUUAUAUGUAAGUCGGAAUUGAGAUCGAAGCUUAGUCGGAUCGCCUAGAAUCAUACGUCGCAGAGUGCCAGCGGGCGGCGCCUCAUCCCUACCAGACGUAACAAUGAUCACUGAUCCCACUGUGUCAAGACCACGGCGACCUGCUCUCCCUGCCAUUUGAGUAUAUUCACCAGGGAGAAGGUCUCUAAAGGACCUUCCGUCAUGUUUUCGGAAGCCAGAAAAUACAACAGUCCUGGUUGGCAGAUUCAGACCCAUCGCAAAAGUUUCCGUCGCAAACAGCACUUUCACCAAGGUCUUUGCGAAUAAUAUCUCAACGAUUUCCUUAAUGAUAGGACUCUAUCUUCUGCCUUCAGCCUUGCCAGCGACUUUUCAAUAAUCAUAUGGAUAGAACUCUUUUCUGCUGCCGUGCAAAAAUCUUGGUU
rnacentral:sRNA from 1 species